rnacentral:rRNA from 1 species
AUGUCAACAGGCCCUCAGGGGCAUGCUCGCCUCGGCAGUCAUCAAGGUGGCAAUAGGACACUUGAAUUCUACCAUUUCAGGCGAGAUCAAGCUGCACAGGAAUAUGAGGAACGAUCCGAUCUAGAGAACAUGAAGAUGACGCUGGAGUUGGUGGACGCUGUGCUCCGCGACGCAGAGAGGGAGUCUAUCAAGCAUAAGUCCAUGCUUCUGUGGCUGAAGCAACUUAAGGAUGCCGUGAACGGCAUCUCUCACAUGCUUGAAGAUUUUCAAGAUGAAACCGACCUCAACCUGAUUCUGGCAAAGAAGGGCGUGCUGAUCCUACCGUACAUCCUAGCCAACUCCGGCGGAGUGAUGGUGAGCUACUUCAAGUGGGUGCAGAACCCCUCACUCCGGCGGAGUGAUGGUGAGCUACUUCAAGUGGGUGCAGAACAUCCAGGGGUUCAUGUGAGACGAGGAGAAGGUGAAUCGGGAGCUCAAGACGUACAUGACCCGCGCCUCAAACAUAGUUCUGAUUAUUUAGGCAGUGUAUGGCACCGUAUAAAAUGGACAGUAAUUAUGUAUAGUAUAUCUUCGAAAACCAGAAUUGGUUCAAUUUGGAACAAUGCCUGCUUUAUAUGA